UGUGCUCCUUUUAUCCCUCACGCGUUCUCCUCCCACAAGGCUCAUUAUGGCCACACCCAAAGUUGAGUCUAAGCCCUGCAACAAGCACGACCUGUCGGUUUUGCUCAUCCCAGCAAAUUAGCCCAGGCUCUGCAGCCCGAACGCCGGAGAAGCAGCCGCGGAUUGGCCCAGGUUUCUCAACAAAAUUAGAGCUGUUAGCAGGAGGAAGGCGGACGGAUGCUGAGUAAGCAAAUCAUGAUGCUUCAUCCUGGUAAACAGCGAAGAUCUACCCAGCUUCCCAGAAUCUCCCAGGGACUCGGAUUAAGGGCUGAACUGCAGCUGCCAGCCUACAUAUACCACAGCCACAGCAACACGGGAUCCAGG